rnacentral:rRNA from 1 species
UCCAGACUCCUACGGGAGGCAGCAGUGAGGAAUAUUGGUCAAUGGGCGCGAGCCUGAACCAGCCAAGUCGCGUGAGGGAGGACGGCCCUACGGGUUGUAAACCUCUUUUGCCGGGGAGCAACGGGCGUCACGUGUGGCGCCACUGAGAGUACCCGGAGAAAAAGCAUCGGCUAACUCCGUGCCAGCAGCCGCGGUAAUACGGAGGGCGUGAGCGUUAAUCGGAAUUACUGAGCGUAAAGCGCGCGUAGGCUGUUGUGUAAGUUGGGGGUGAAAUCCCACGGCUCAACCGUGGAACAGCCCUUGAUACUGCGCGACUUGAAUCCGGGAGAGGGUGGCGGAAUUCCAGGUGUAGGAGUGAAAUCCGUAGAUAUCUGGAGGAACAUCAGUGGCGAAGGCGGCCACCUGGACCGGUAUUGACGCUGAGGCGCGAAAGCGUGGGGAGCAAACAGGAUUAGAUACCCCGGUA